rnacentral:rRNA from 1 species
UACGUAGGGUGCGAGCGUUGUCCGGAAUUAUUGGGCGUAAAGGGCUCGUAGGCGGUUUGUCGCGUCGGGAGUGAAAACACUGGGCUUAACUCAGUGCUUGCUUUCGAUACGGGCAGACUAGAGGUAUGCAGGGGAGAACGGAAUUCCUGGUGUAGCGGUGAAAUGCGCAAAUAUCAGGAGGAACACCGGUGGCGAAGGCGGUUCUCUGGGCAUUACCUGACGCUGAGGAGCAAAAGCGUGGGGAGCGAACAGG